CCAGGUCCCUGCCCACAGGUGACAGCCACUGACGCCGACCCACCCCUUCCCCGGCCAUCGGACUUCGAGUCACCAGCCGUACCUGUUCAGCUCGAGGCACUCAGUCUCCGGUCCCCUCCUACUUCACAUCGGGAACUCCCUUUCUCCUCUCCUCAAUUCACUUCCCAAUUCCGUGCCUGGUAACAUCAUUAACUCCCAUCAAUAUAACUCUAUACGCGCACCAUCACCACCUCCCCCCUCCCUCUCGAGAUGAGUUAUCGUGCGUGUGCGUCACGCGUGCGAAGAGGAGGCGAAAUAAUAAUAAGCUAAUGAUGACGAGAGAGAGAGAGAGAGAAGCGGAGGAAGAGCUAACGGGCAGAAGCAGGUACGUACAAGGCGGAGGAGCGCGGUGGAAUUGUUUGAGGUCGACUACCUGCCAAUGCAUACCCAGGUCAGGUGAUGAGUUCAUACUUUCAUACAUAUAGUAUUCCCUCCGCAUCACAUGACUGACAACCAAUUUAUUACCUCCUCCACCCAAAAACAAAACAAAACAAAAAACAAUCAAUUGACGUUUUGGUUGAUUGAUCCGUGGACGAUCGGCACGAUGAUCAUUUAUUACGGGAACGAAGGAAUCUGUGGGUGUCGCAAUAAAUGACCGUCUCUGCUCCAGCGUUUGUACUUCUCUCAUGCUGCGCUAGCUGCACUGGACUAGCUAGCUCCUACGCUUUAUGUUCCCACUCCUCUUAAUGCCGACGUCUGAGCUUCUUCGUCUUCUACAAGUCACAGAGCAUCUUCCUGCUGAGAAAGAAGCAUGGCGCUGGCGUGCGCGUUGUUUGGAGGUGAGGUUAUGGGGAAUGUUGUCUGGCUCGAGGUCUUCAAUGGCCACCGUAUAUCUACGUAAUCUGCUUCAUGCAGGUGAGUCGAUUCGAGUUUGUGCCUAAGUGAGCUCGGACCAGGCUUCAUUCCUCAUAACCGACAUUUUUGCCUCCAUUUCAUAGUUCCCUACGGCCAAAGAUUUUGAAGGCAAAUGACGAAGAAGAAGCAGAACAAGAAGAGAAGGAAAUGCAUGGAACCAGAGCGCCUUUCUCGCUGCCAAAGUGUGUCUGAAUGAUGCAUUUAAUGCAGGCACUGUGCAAGUACUACAGCUCCUCCACCGCCAAAUGAAGCAGUACUGGUGUUUGCGUUUAAAGAGAGCUGGGAAAGGAGGACAUAAAAUUUGUGUUGGUUCGAGCAAUGACUUUGUUCGUAUUGCAUUAAUAGAAAAGCUCCGGCGCAGUGUUUCAGCUGCAUAUCUGCUCAAAGUUAAUGAUAAACAUUGUGGUCCUCUCAGUUACUGCGCAAUGCAUGACAGCCCAUCAUGUAGUCUUCCAGUGUGCAAUUAUAUGCACGGCCUAUAUCUUUUUAAUUUGCACAUAUAUUAUUUAUGUAGAGGA